UACGGAGGGUGCGAGCGUUGUUCGGAAUCACUGGGCGUAAAGGGCGCGUAGGCGGCCGAUCAAGUCGGGGGUGAAAGCCUGUGGCUCAACCACAGAAUUGCCUUCGAUACUGUUUGGCUUGAGACCGGAAGAGGUUAGUGGAACUGUGAGUGUAGAGGUGAAAUUCGUAGAUAUUCGCAAGAACACCAGUGGCGAAGGCGGCUGACUGGUCCGGUUCUGA
rnacentral:rRNA from 1 species